UUGAGUGAUGAAUUAUGCACUGGGCUCUGAGCAGUUUUCAUACUGCAUCUAUUGAUGGAUAUGCAGCCUAGAAAGCUAAUCUGACAA